AAGUCGUAACAAGGUUUCCGUAGGUGAACCUGCGGAAGGAUCAUUAACACGUGUCCCACGUAUCAAACCAAACUGAGAACUGUGAACGAAUAUCCGGGAUAAGCUAGAUGGCGUGGCAGUAAAGUCCAGGGAUGGGCCUACUUCGGUGGGUUGUACUCUGGGUUCCCCACAUUUGGGUUAAACCGUUAACCAAAACCAUUAUUCAUUAUUAUUAUCGUCUUAAGAACUGUCGUGCUGACUGAGAGGAUCGUGAAGUAGCUAGCUCCUCGGAGCCGGCCAAAAGCUUUACUUGAAUGUUAGUAAUGAUGUCUUAUUACAAACUAUGUACAACUAUUAGCAAUGGAUAUCUUGGUUUCC
rnacentral:misc_RNA from 1 species